rnacentral:rRNA from 1 species
GACGAACGCUGGCGGCGUGCUUAACACAUGCAAGUCGAACGGAAAGGCCCUGCUUUUGUGGGGUGCUCGAGUGGCGAACGGGUGAGUAACACGUGAGUAACCUGCCCUUGACUUUGGGAUAACUUCAGGAAACUGGGGCUAAUACCGGAUAGGAGCUCCUGCUGCAUGGUGGGGGUUGGAAAGUUUCGGCGGUUGGGGAUGGACUCGCGGCUUAUCAGCUUGUUGGUGGGGUAGUGGCUUACCAAGGCUUUGACGGGUAGCCGGCCUGAGAGGGUGACCGGACACAUUGGGACUGAGCUACGGCCCAGACUACUACGGGACGCAGCAGUGGGGAAUAUUGCACAAUGGGCUGAAGCCUGAUGCAGCAACGCCGCGUGCGGGAUGACGGCCUUCGGGUUGUAAACCGCUUUCGCCUGUGACGAAGCGUGAGUGACGGUAAUGGGUAAAGAAGCACCGGCUAACUACGUG